rnacentral:rRNA from 1 species
UAGGCCUAACACAUGCAAGUCGAACGGUCAGUAGCAAUAAAGAUAGUGGCGCACGGGUGCGUAACGCGUAGCCAACCUACCCGAAUCUGGGGGAUAGCCCGCCGAAAGGCGGAUUAAUACCGCAUAAUACUUGUUCCUGGCAUCAGGGGUUAGUUAAAGAUUUAUUGGAUUCGGAUGGGGCUGCGUGCCAUUAGCUAGUUGGUAAGGUAACGGCUUACCAAGGCGACGAUGGCUAGGGGAGCUGAGAGGCUGGUCCCCCACACGGGCACUGAGAUACGGGCCCGACUCCUACGGGAGGCAGCAGUAGGGAAUAUUGGGCAAUGGUCGAG